AGUGAACGCUGGCGAUAGGCCUAACACAUGCAAGUCGAACGGCAGCACAGUAAGAGCUUGCUCUUACUGGUUGCGAGUGGCGGACGUGUGAGGAAUACAUCGGAAUCUACUUUUUCGUGGGGGAUAACGUAGGGAAACUUACGCUAAUACCGCAUACGACCUACGGUCUAAAGCAGGUGAUCUUCGGACCUUGCGCGAUUGAAUGAGCCGCUGUCGGACUAGAUAGUUGGCGGGGUAAAGGCCCACCAAGGCGACGAUCCGUAGCUGGUCUGAGAGGAGGAUCGGCCACACUGGAACUGGGACAGGGACAAGAGUACUAAGAGAGGGAGCAGUGGGGAAAAGGGGACAAUGGGCGCAGGCAUGAUACAGCCAUACAGAGUGGGAGAAGAAGGCGUUCGGGGUGUAAAGACGUUUUGUUGGGAAAGAAAAGCAGCAGGUUAGUAACAAGCGGUUGUGACGGUACCCAAAGAAUAAGCACCGGCUAACUUCGUG
rnacentral:rRNA from 1 species